AUUGAACGCUGGCGGCAGGCUUAACACAUGCAAGUCGAACGAGUGGCGGACGGGUGAGUAAUGCUUGUGAAUCUAGCUUAUGGAUGGGGAUAACUACGGGAAACUGUAGCUAAUACCGCUUACCUUAGCAUUAUCCCAAGUGGGAUUAGGUAGUUGGUGAGGUAAAGGCUCACCAAGCCGACGAUCUCUAGCUGGUCUGAGAGGAUGACCAGCCACACUGGGACUGAGACACGGCCCAGACUCCUACGGGAGGCAGCAGUGGGGAAUAUUGCGCAAUGGGGGCAACCUGACGCAGCCAUGCCGCGUGAAUGAAGAAGGCCUUCGGGUUGUAAAGUUCUUUCGGUAGCGAGGCGUUAACUACAGAAGAAGCAACGGCUAACUCCGUGCCAGCAGCCGCGGUAAUAC
rnacentral:rRNA from 1 species